AGAGUUUGAUCCUGGCUCAGGAUGAACGCUGACAGAAUGCUUAACACAUGCAAGUCUUUGGCGAAGCUGUGCUUGCACAGCCUAGCCAAGGCGGACGGGUGAGUAACGCGUAAGGAACUUGCCCUGCAGUCAGGGAUAACAGACGGAAACGACUGAUAAGACCUGGUAAAGUCAGGCGGACUCAUGUCCAGCCUGAUGAAAAGAGAUGCUGCAGGAGAGCCUUGCGUCCUAUUAGCUUGUUGGUGGGGUAACGGCCCACCAAGGCGAUGAUAGGUAGCCGGCCUGAGAGGGUGGACGGCCACAAGGGGACUGAGAUACGGCCCUUACUCCUACGGGAGGCAGCAGUGGGGAAUAUUGGACAAUGGGGGCAACCCUGAUCCAGCAAUUCUGUGUGCACGAAGACGGUUUUCGGAUUGUAAAGUGCUUUCAGCAGGGAAGAAGAAAGUGACGGUACCUGCAGAAGAAGCGACGGCUAAAUACGUGCCAGCAGCCGCGGUAAUACGUAUGUCGCAAGCGUUAUCCGGAAUUAUUGGGCAUAAAGGGCAUCUAGGCGGAUAUACAAGUCAGGGGUGAAAACUUAGGGCUCAACUCAAAGCUUGCCUUUGAAACUGUAUAUCUAGAGUGCUGGAGAGGUGGACGGAACUACACGAGUAGAGGUGAAAUUCGUAGAUAUGUGUAGGAAUGCCGAUGAUGAAGAUAGUCCACUGGACAGCAACUGACGCUGAAGUGCGAAAGCUAGGGGAGCAAACAGGAUUAGAUACCCUGGUAGUCCUAGCUGUAAACGAUGAUUACUGGGUGUGGGCAUGAAGAGUGU
rnacentral:rRNA from 1 species